rnacentral:rRNA from 1 species
AACGAACGCUGGCGGCGCGCCUAAUACAUGCAAGUCGAGCGAGAAGACGUAGCAAUACGUUUGUAAAGCGGCGAACGGGUGAGGAAUACAUGGGUAACCUACCCUCGAGUGGGGAAGUAACUAGCCGAAAGGUUAGCUAAUACCGCGUACGCUCCUUGGACUUCGGUUCAGGGAGGAAAGCGAUACCGUGGGUAUCGCGCUCUUGGAUGGGCUCAUGUCCUAUCAGCUUGUUGGUGAGGAACGGCUCACCAAGGCUUCGACGGGUAGCUGGUCUGAGAGGACGAUCAGCCACACUGGCACUGCGACACGGGCCAGACUCCUACGGGAGGCAGCAGUAAGGAAUAUUGCGCAAUGGGCGAAAGCCUGACGCAGCGACGCCGCGGUGGGGGGAGUGAA